UGGUGGGGUUCCUCCGUGAAGAAGACCAUGGUGUGUGCUGGAGGGGACAUCCGCUCCGGCUGCAACGGUGACUCUGGAGGACCCCUCAACUGCCCCACAGAGGAUGGUGGCUGGCAGGUCCAUGGUGUGACCAGCUUUGUUUCUGCCUUUGGCUGCAACACCCGCAGGAAGCCCACGGUGUUCACUCGAGUCUCCGCCUUCAUCGACUGGAUUGAGGAGGGAGGAUAGAGAGACAUGCCAGACAAGAGGCUGCCUGGUGGGGGACGGACCAUAGCAAGCCACUAGAACCAAGGCCCAGCUGGCAGUGCUGAUCGAUCCCACAUCCUGAAUAAAGAAUAAAGAUCUCUCAGAAAAUUCCAA
rnacentral:sRNA from 1 species